rfam:Desulfobacteraceae bacterium 4572_123 ex4572_123_scaffold_5453, whole genome shotgun sequence.
UAGGUGGGCGUGGGCGAUCCGCUGGGUAUGGCGAUCACCCAUGCUGUUGCUUCGGGAAUGGGCGGAAUGAGGGCAGCCGGAGAUCUGGUUGCUCGAAUGC